UCGGAUCGUUUUAGAAACAUCAGUGGCCAACAGAUCGCCAGAUCGUUGAGCUGCAUUGGCGGGAUUUCGCCGUCUUCGUUUCUCUUUCUUCGCGGACGAACACGCGCUGGGCCUGCAACGGCAGGAUCCAGGGUCCUUAACGGGAUGUGCGUUAGGGGCUUGUAGCUCAGUUGGUUAGAGCGCGCGCUUGAUAAGCGUGAGGUCGGAAGUUCAAGUCUUCCCAGGCCCACCACUUUCAUCGAGUGAGCAUUCGUCUUCUGGUUACGGGGCCAUAGCUCAGCUGGGAGAGCGCGUGCUUUGCAAGCAUGAGGUCGUCGGUUCGAUCCCGUCUGGCUCCACCAGAUGGUUUGAUCACCGAGAUCUUGACCGUCGUCCGCGAAACAUCACUUCGCAUCCUGCUAGUCUGGAUAGACAGCAGUUUGCGUGUUUUCUGACAUCGUAAAGAGGAGAUCGAUCCGAGUUGGGUCGUGCAGCAUAUCGUUGCGCGAGCCUUCAUUAUCUCCGGAUCAUUUCGGCGCUCGCUUCCAGCCGUGAGGUUGGAUGCGGGUUGUAAAUGAUCCUUUUAGCGAAGCUUGACCGCCUCGCUAUCGGAACGAUCUUACGAAGCAAGCUGGUCUUUCUAGUCAAUGUCCGGCUGCGGAUAGCGUUCAUCGAGGGCGCGUGCCGCAAGGCAAUUCUGCAGACAACAUUCUGCCGAGUGUGUGGACAUUGAUAAUGAGAGCAAUCAAGUGCCUUAAGGGUGUUCGGUGGAUGCCUUGGCGCUGAGAGGCGAUGAAGGACGUGCUACGCUGCGAUAAGCCGUGGGGAGCUGCGAAGAAGCUUUGAUCCGCGGAUUUCCGAAUG
rnacentral:misc_RNA from 1 species